CAUGAAGGUGGACGACUAUUAAAAUUAUGGUCUCUCGCCCAUUCCCACCCGGAGCGGCCAUCUCACUCUUCACUAUCUUGCACGGACAUAUCCUGUAGCUAUUGCCCUUUCUCUAUGCCACGAGCGAGAGUUCCCAUCCUUGUGUACUAAGAGUAUCUUGAGUUGAAAGGUCAUCCUUGUGUACUGCGAGUACCUUGAGUGACAACGGUUGAGGUUGAAGAUCCCUUCCUCUUCAUUCCCUUGAUCGAGAUCAACGAAGCCGGGUCAUUGUUGCACAAUCGGCCUCGGAUCUAUAUUUUUCGGUUCCAGUUUUGCUCCAAUUUGUAUUGGUUUCUUUUAGCUUCUAGUUCGUUGAUGCUUUGUCAGUAGCUUUACGUGAAUAUAUAUAUUACCUCCUUUCACCAUGGUCUAUAUUCUAGCAUUUGUUUCUUUUCUUGGUUU